rnacentral:rRNA from 1 species
ACGAACGUAACCUUACCGACGGCCUUGACAUGCAGAGUACCUUCAGAGAUGGAUUGGUGCCGUUCGGAACUCUGACACAGGUGCUGCAUGGCUGUCGUCAGCUCGUGUCGUGAGAUUGGUUGGGUUAACGUCCCGUAACGAGCGCAACCUUGUCCUUAGUUACCAGCACGUUAUGGUGGGCACUCUAAGGAGACUGCCGGUGACAAACCGGAGGAAGGUGGGGAUGACGUCAAGUCAUCAUGGCCCUUACGGCCUGGGCUACACACGUGCUACAAUGGUCGGUACAAAGGGUUGCCAAGCCGCGAGGUGGAGCUAAUCCCAUAAAACCGAUCGUAGUCCGGAUCGCAGUCUGCAACUCGACUGCGUGAAGUCGGAAUCGCUAGUAAUCGUGAAUCAGAAUGUCACGGUGAAUACGUUCCCGGGCCUU